rnacentral:lncRNA from 1 species
UCUCUCCUCACUAAAACCCCUAUGACCCGAAAGUUCCUUUUUUUGUAGAUCUUGACCCGAACCAAUCAGCAAACCCUAUUUUUGCUUUCUUCUUCAUUCAUACACUCCAAAGAUAAUCUUGGUCGUCUCUUACUUUGCAUCCUUUCAGAUUCAACGUCUAUCUGUCAUGAAACCGUUAUCUCUAGCAAUAUCAGUUCUUGCCUGCGUAACCCUCAGUCUGAGAAACAACAGUUGGAUAUUUUAUCUACAUUGGCGGAUGGAAACUUUGUCUCGACUUUGCUAGCGCUCCAUAUGUGAGUCCCUUAAACUACAUAAUUUUAUAUUACUUGAAUCACAUUUUUGUUAUCUACACAUUUAGGUGUUUCUAGAUGGUGGUUUGAAACAACAGGGAACGGGUAGAUGCUCUUUUAUCUCUUGAACAUACCUUUUUUUGAUGGCAAGUUUUCUAUAUAUCGGACAAGAAAGUUUUACGUCAAUCUGACCUAUACCAAAGGUAACCCGCUUUGACCCAUUACUUAACUCACCUAUUUUCAGCCUGUUUUGUUUUUCCAUUUGAUUCUCAAUAUGAGUAAACAAAUGACAGUUUUAACAUAUAAUCUGUUGAGAUUUGAAAGGUAGUUCUCUUUGCAUGAUUUUACCAUAAUUCGUUCAUUUUUUUGUGUAUACAAGCUGCAGAAUUUCUAUAAUUGUUUGCAUCAUUGUUGAUCCGGGAUGGCCUAAAUGGUCAUGCCAUAUGAUAAAAUUUUCUUGGUCUAUUAACUUCUUGUUUAUGACUGCAUUUGAUUCGAUUGCAUCAAUUUUAGUAUAAUACAAACCAGAGGCAAGUGCUCGCAACUUUUCUAACACAUGCUUUUUACCCGAACUGAUAUUUGUGAUAUGAAGGUACUCAUCAUGUCCCUCGGAUGUAGUCUCAAGAUGAUAUCCGUUUAAACGAACAUCUUUAAAACUUAUUAGAUUCCUUUGAGACAAUGGGGAAAAUAAUGCAUUGAUUAUUUUAAAUGGUGUUCCACCUAGCAACACUACAUAAGCUUCUCCAAAGCCUUCAAUUAAUUUUGAUUGCUAGAUAUAGUACCAACAUUUGCCUUUAGCAUAGUUAAAUUAGAGAAAUAAUUCUUUUUCUUAAGAAUUGUAUACGUAGAUGCGCUGUCUAUUAGACAUAUAUCUUCUCUAUUAAUAGGGAUCUUAGUUAAACACUCCAUAUGCUACAAAAACAAAACAAAAUCAUAUAAAUAAAAUGUCUAACAUGCUUCA